GGCGGGCGUAGCCAAGUGGUAAGGCAUUGGAUUGUGACUCCAAUAUUCGCGGGUUCGAACCCCGUCGUUCGCC
rnacentral:tRNA from 1 species